ACGGGGUGCAGCAGGCGCGAAACCUUUGCGAUGUGCGAAAGCACGACAAGGUUAAUCCGAGUGUCUCCCGCUAAGGGAGUCUUUUGUCAGUUCUAGAACCACUGGUGAAUAAGGGGUGGGCAAGUUCUGGUGUCAGCCGCCGCGGUAAAACCAGCACCUCGAGUGGUCAGGAGGUUUAUUGGGCCUAAAGCAUCCGUAGCCGGUUGCAUAAGUUUUCGGUUAAAUCUAUGCGCUUAACGUAUAGGCCGCCGAAAAUACUGUGCAGCUAGGGAGUGGGAGAGGUACACGGUACUCGAUAGGAAGGGGUAAAAUCCUUUGGUCUAUUGAUGACCACCUGUGGCGAAGGCGGUGUACCAGAACACGUUCGACGGUGAGGGAUGAAAGCUGGGGGAGCAAACCGGAUUAGAUACCCGGGUAGUCCCAGCUGUAAACGAUGCAGACUCGGUGAUGCAUUGGCUUGUGGCCAAUGCAGUGCUGCAGGGAAGCCGUUAAGUCUGCCGCCUGGGAAGUACGUACGCAAGUAUGAAACUUAAAGGAAUUGGCGGGGGAGCAC
rnacentral:rRNA from 2 species